GCGGUAGCAGGGAGAAAGCUUGCUUUCUCCGCUGACGAGCGGCGGACGGGUGAGUAAUGUCUGGGGAUCUGCCUGAUGGAGGGGGAUAACUACUGGAAACGGUAGCUAAUACCGCAUAACGUCGCAAGACCAAAGUGGGGGACCUUCGGGCCUCAUGCCAUCAGAUGAACCCAGAUGGGAUUAGCUAGUAGGUGGGGUAAUGGCUCACCUAGGCGACGAUCCCUAGCUGGUCUGAGAGGAUGACCAGCCACACUGGAACUGAGACACGGUCCAGACUCCUACGGGAGGCAGCAGUGGGGAAUAUUGCACAAUGGGCGCAAGCCUGAUGCAGCCAUGCCGCGUGUAUGAAGAAGGCCUUCGGGUUGUAAAGUACUUUCAGUAGGGAGGAAGGUGUGAGCGUUAAUAGCGUUCACAAUUGACGUUAC
rnacentral:rRNA from 1 species